rnacentral:rRNA from 2 species
CGCCUCUUGCAAAAUUAAUGAAUAAGAGGUCCCGCCUGCCCUGUGACUAUAUGUUUAACGGCCGCGGUAUUUUGACCGUGCGAAGGUAGCGCAAUCACUUGUCUUUUAAAUGGAGACCUGUAUGAAUGGCAUAACGAGGGCCUAACUGUCUCCUUUUUCAAGUCAAUGAAAUUGAUCUUCCCGUGCAGAAGCGGAAAUAACUACAUAAGACGAGAAGACCCUAUGGAGCUUUAGACAAAAACAGACCAUGUUAAGCACCCUCAAAUAAGAGACCAAACCCGAUGCCUACUGCCUAAUGUCUUUGGUUGGGGUGACCGCGGCGAAACAAAUAACCCCCGUGUAGAAUAGAGGGCUCCUCCCUUCAAAUCGAGAGCUACCGCUCAAAUAAUCAGGAUACCUGACUAAGCAAGAUCCGGCAACGCCGAUCAACGGACCGAGUUACCCUAGGGAUAACAGCGCAAUCCCCUUCUAGAGCCCAUAUCGACAAGGGGGUUUACGACCUCGAUGUUGGAUCAGGACAUCCUAAUGGUGCAGCCGCUAUUAAGGGUUCGUUUGUUCAACGAUUAAUAGUCCU